UGAUACCGCAACGACGCGACGUUUAAGAACGACCAAAUGUGUUCCGCGUGUAUCGAAAAAGGAAGUGGCCGAUGACUCGUUGACUCAUUCCGUAAACUCGAUUUAUAGUACCGGUCAGGGUAUUCGUCGUUUCACCUUCGGUCAUGAAUAUUUAUUGCCGCGCGCAAAACAAUUUGUUUGAUUCUUUUUUUCCCGCGCUCUGUCCGAUGCUGAACUGCGCAUGCGUCUGCGCAUGCGUCUGCGCAUGUUCGUCGAACCGAAGCGUCUUUUUACGCGCCAAUGUAUCGGGACAAUAAAUCUCGUCCACGGGAUGUUAUCCGGUCGAAAAGUAAUUAGCCCAUUAACUUCGUUUCAAGUUUGUCUCGUCGUGUUUCGAUAUUAGCCGGGAGGGAGAAGCAUUAGCGUGAAUGAACACCCUUAACGUCGAAGUUUGUUCGCGACGAAAUACGAAGCACGAUAGACGGUCGCGAUCUAAGCGUUUGAAAGUAUGUUAGUUUAUACGAGGCUAUUGAUGCAGUUCACUGCGUGAGAAAGCGAACAUCGAUCGAGGUACAGUAGGAAACAACUUUCGUAAAAUUUUGCGGUAUUCGCUCGCUUGCAAGCUGAUUCAUUAUUGUAUUUUUAUAGGUUAUGUUUAGCGGGCUGGAAUAUCUAGAUGGACUCGCGGUUUAGAAAAGCUACGCCUCGACACGUGAAUCGUUUGCAAUUGGAAUUUUGUACGUUACAAUCGUUCCGUAAUUCUGAUUUAUUUCCACAUCGUGCCGAUACAUCGCGAAUACAACUGUUGAGAGAAAGUUGAUACGGAAUCAAUUGCAACAAAAUGACUCUGAAUCUGGCCUGUGUAUUGUUCCGUUAAAUUAUUAUAAAUGAGAUAAAGAAUAUAAAUCCCUACUGACACACUUCAGACGUACAUCACCUCGUUAGAAGAUAACCUCCUUGCACAAUUGUAACACCAGACACUUUUAAAAAACUAAAUUAGUUGCACACAUUUUUUUCGUAGGUUAUAACAGCAAUUAUUCGGAAUUGGAAUCAGUUUCCCGGAUGAUAAGUUAAACACCAAACGGUAAGAAAGUAAACACGACACUGAAGAGCAAACAUUAAUUUAUCGCGUGCUAAACCGAGCGCGAACGAUCGGCCGAAAUAUGUAAACGUAAACAGUGGCGCCGCGCAAGGCACGAAGUCCCUAAGCAACAACCGGAAGAAGUAACCAAAUACACAAGCAAGUGUGAAACAGUGUUGUGCACCAAGAAAGGAAUAACCAUUACACCGAACAAUGAAAGAAAACUUGAAAAUAGAGGAGAAGGCUGUUCGAAAACAUCCGACGUCCACUACUAAGCAUCCAAUUGGCAUUUCGACCACGUGUGGAAAAUUCGUCGACUGGAGGAUCGCGCGGGGUCACGGAAGAUGGAUGACGGAAGAAAGUUGGACGACGGUGAGAUGUAUCGAUGCCCGGUGGAUUCGAUGAGCACAGAGAAUGGCGAGAAUCAGGUCCGUGUGUUUACAGCUCGUUGGUUGGACGUCGGUCAACAGCCGAAUUUCACCUGCUCCUCUUUUUCGAUCCGGCUAAAUUGCUCGACCCGAGGAACGGACAGGAAACACGCUUCGACGAAUCCCACGGCCAUAUCCCAUCGAGGUUCGUGGGACAACCAUCGGACCCCGUACCCUGUGGUGUUGGAAAUUAAUCGCCAAAGAGGGUGUACUUGUUGCUGACUAAUUUUGCGCCCUGGGUCAACGCUGAAUCAUCAUGGGGAGCAAACUUGUGUGUCACUUUUUACGUUCCAAUUACUUAGGAUUACCGAUCACGCAAAAGGAAAAGAAAAAGAAACGAGACGUUAUUAAAAUAAAAGUAUCAAUACUCUGGAAUCUACGACGUUAUAAAACGUAAGUACUUGAUACAUUACGAAUGAUACCCAAGCUUUUAAGUUCUAUAUUUACAAAAUCGAUCUCGAAACAUAUAAAAUGAAAUGCCAAUCAACACCCUCGUUUCGGCUAAUUCGAAGCUCUGUAAACGAAGGGUCGAGUGUUCAAUAUCACAUGGUCUUAAACGCUUGGGUUAACUAUGGACGCGACCAUCGUGCACACUAUAUGUAUAUACAAGUCACUGUAAUCAACCCAUCGUCUAAAUUUUCUAUUUCGAAUAAAUGUAACAAAUAAUAUCAAUUAUAAAAUAAAAUUAGAA